UACGUAGGGUGCGAGCGUUGUCCGGAAUUAUUGGGCGUAAAGAGCUCGUAGGCGGUGUGUCACGUCGUUCGUGAAAACCUGCAGCUUAACUGUGGGCGUGCGGUCGAUACGGGCAUCACUGGAGUUCGGCAGGGAGACUGGAAUUCCUGGUGUAGCGGUGAAAUGCGCAGAUAUCAGGAGGAACACCGGUGGUGUAGACGGCUCUCUGGACCGUAACUGACGCUGAGACACGAAAGCCAGGGGAGCGAACGGG
rnacentral:rRNA from 1 species